UUCUGAUGUGUUGUUUAUUGUUUAGAUUAUACAGGCUGAACUAACACGACUAAAAAAUCAAAAGAAAAAAGAGCAACAAAAAGAACAGGCAAUGUACCAGAGAAUGUUUCCACAAAGUGAACCCAAAAAGUCCAAGACAAUUUCAAAGUUAAAGACAUGGGGUAUGCUUACAGGCAGUUUAUUGGCAGUUGCUGUUGGAAUGGCAGCAUAUCGGCAGUUUCACAGUUGAAGGAACAAUAAAUAAUUCAAAAUGUUAAUAUAAAAUAAUGUGUUUCUUUGUUUCUUGUUUUAUGUACAGUGUAAUGAAUGUACAGAUAUAAAUAAGUCCUUUUCUCUUUUGAGAAAUACUAAUGACCAAUAUUCUAGCAAUACGCUGUCAUUGAAAAUAUAAUGUAUAAUUGUUACUAGUUGUAAUUAUUAAGAUUUUCAAUUAAAAUAAUUUUAUUGCAUAA